rnacentral:tRNA from 1 species
GUUUUGAUAGUUUAUAUUAGAAUACGCCGUUGAAGGUGGCGAGGGAACUUUUAGGUUUCAAAAUA